CCAUCGGCCUUUUUCAGGGCCAUUAAAUUGGUGGAAAAGAGUUAAA
rfam:Aedes aegypti strain Liverpool supercont1.115 genomic scaffold, whole genome shotgun sequence.